rnacentral:tRNA from 1 species
GGGGUUGUGGCUCAGUGGUAGAGCGCUCACCUGGUACAUGUGAGGCACUGGGUUCCAUCCUCAGCACCACA